rnacentral:rRNA from 1 species
UACGUAGGGUGCAAGCGUUAAUCGGAAUUACUGGGCGUAAAGCGUGCGCAGGCGGUUGUUCAAGACCGAUGUGAAAGCCCCGGGCUCAACCUGGGAAUGGCGAUGGAUACUGGCUCGCUAGAGUGCGGUAGAGGAGAGUGGAAUUCCCGGUGUAGCAGUGAAAUGCGUAGAGAUCGGGAGGAACAUCAGUUGCGAAGGCGGCUCUCUGGACCAGCACUGACACUGAGGCACGAAAGCGUGGGGAGCAAACAGG